rnacentral:ncRNA from 1 species
UCGCCCCCACCGAUAAGGUAGCCACGAGAGGCUGUCUUUCUCAUAACGAGAAUAGGUGGGGGUGUUUUA